CAGAGAGCCGAGUCAAAGAAGCUGAGCAAAGACAAGUCAAUAUGCAACUUUCACAGGUAAUUAGAGAGGAGAAAAACCAUGUUUUGGGCAGCAAAGAGAUACAAAGCCUAGGCCUGGAGAGAAAACUUAUGGAUGAGAACCCGUUUUCCCCAACUCCCAGUAUGGUGCCUUGCAGACACACCAUAUGCCAUGGCAUCUGCUGCAAUGUCCAGUAGGUCUCACGUGUUCAGACUUCACACAAGGCAAGAAUAUUCACCACCUUGAUUG
rnacentral:lncRNA from 1 species